GAUGAACGCUGGCGGCGUGCCUAAUACAUGCAAGUCGAGCGAAUGGAUUAAGAGCUUGCUCUUAUGAAGUUAGCGGCGGACGGGUGAGUAACACGUGGGUAACCUGCCCAUAAGACUGGGAUAACUCCGGGAAACCGGGGCUAAUACCGGAUAACAUUUUGAACCGCAUGGUUCGAAAUUGAAAGGCGGCUUCGGCUGUCACUUAUGGAUGGACCCGCGUCGCAUUAGCUAGUUGGUGAGGUAACGGCCCACCAAGGCAACGAGGCGUAGCCGACCUGAGAGGGGGAUCGGCAACCCUGGGACUUGGACACGGCCCAGACUCCUGCGGAAGGCAGCAGUAGGGAAUCUUCCUGAAUGGACGAAAGUCUGACGGAGCAACGCCGCGUGAGUGAUGAAGGCUUUCGGGUCGUAAAACUCUGUUGUUAGGGAAGAACAAGUGCUAGUUGAAUAAGCUGGCACCUUGACGGUACCUAACCAGAAAGCCACGGCUAACUACGUGCCAGCCGCCGCAGUAA
rnacentral:rRNA from 1 species